rnacentral:rRNA from 1 species
ACCUACGGGUGGCUGCAGUCGAGAAUCUUCGGCAAUGGGCGCAAGCCUGACCGAGCGACGCUGCGUGCGGGAUGAAGGCCCUUUGGGUUGUAAACCGCUGUCAGAGGGGAUGAAAGCGAAAGCUUGACAGAGCCUCAGAGGAAGCGCGGGCUAAGUUCGUGCCAGCAGCCGCGGUAAUACGAACUGCGCGAACGUUAUUCGGAAUCACUGGGCUUACAGGGUGCGUAGGCGGCUUUUCAGGUCCGAUGUGAAAUCCCCCAGCUCAACUGGGGAACGGCAUUGGAAACCGGGAAGCUUGAGUGAGCUAGAGGUGCACGGAACUUCCGGUGGAGCGGUGAAAUGUGUUGAGAUCGGAAGGAACACCAGAGGCGAAGGCGGUGCACUGGGGCUUGUCUGACGCUGAGGCACGAAAGCCAGGGGAGCGAACGGGAUUAGAUACCCUAGUAGUC